GCGGGCUUGGAUCCUUCGGGGUUACAGCCUUGCUGAAUUUUCACCCGUGUCUUUUGCGUACUUCUUGUUUCCUUGGUGGGUUCGCCCACCAUAGGACAAACCACAUAAACCUUUUGUAAUUGCAAUCAGCGUCAGUAACAAAAUUAAUAAUUACAACUUUUAACAACGGAUCUCUUGGUUCUGGCAUCGAUGAAGAACGCAGCGAAAUGCGAUAAGUAGUGUGAAUUGCAGAAUUCAGUGAAUCAUCGAAUCUUUGAACGCACAUUGCGCCCUUUGGUAUUCCAAAGGGCAUGCCUGUUCGAGCGUCAUUUGUACCCUCAAGCUUUGCUUGGUGUUGGGCGUCUUGUCUCCAGUUCGCUGGAGACUCGCCUUAAAGUCAUUGGCAGCCGGCCUACUGGUUUCGGAGCGCAGCACAAGUCGCGCUCUCUUUCCAGCCAAGGUCAGCAUCCACAAAGCCUUUUUUCAACUUUUGACCUCGGAUCAGGUAGGGAUACCCGCUGAACUUAAGCAUAUCA
rnacentral:rRNA from 1 species